UUCUUCAAAAAGUGACGUAACUUCUGCCAACAUACAUUCCUUCACUAGCUGAGAAAAUGGUUUUUGGUGGUUAUUAAGUGUCCAGCACACAUGUAACGCGGCUUUUGUGAAUUUUUCUUGGAUGCUCAUGCAACGAACUAGUAAUUUUGUACUCUUUUCGUAGGAACUGAGAUAUGUCUGAUUUUUUUCUUUACGAGCCUGACUAGCAAGAGGAAAGUUUUUGUGGAAUUGCUGAUGAAUUGUUUUGUAGUGUCGCUUCAAAUUUCCACUUUUAACAAUAGUUCUAUUGCAUAUAAGGCACAUUGGAACCGCUUGAGGUCUAUCAGGAUCCAUAUCAACGUAGGUACAGAAAGAUUUUUAUCAAACGAACGAAAACGACAGAAAUCAAAAAUAAAUGUCCGGUUACUCCGUUGUUUGUUCUGCGACUGAUGAUGGAAAUUUGAUGUAGGCAAUGUAUAUAAAAGAGGACCAAGAAUGCUACAUUGUGGUAUACCUCGUUUUAUUGUUAGACUAUCUGAAAGUUCAUCAUCAAUGUUUAGUCGUUGUUGAUGAUUUGUUAAGUACGAUUUGGAGAGUUCCAGUGAAUGUCUGGUGAAUCCAAGGUGGCACCAAGACUUUUGGAAGUAAUAACAAUAUGCGAUAAUGCUACAGUUCAAUGCGCAUGUGGAAUCCCAGACAAGGAGUUUAUCGAAUUUACAGGGAAUGAGCGUCAUACCUACCAUUAGGACACUACUGAAAUUGAUUUUGAGGAAAAUAAAACUGAUAACAAA